GGACCCGCACAAGCGGUGGAUCAUGUGGUUUAAUUCGAAGAUACGCGAAGAACCUUACCGGCCCUUGACAUACCAAUCGCAGACUUAAGAGAUUAAGUCUUUCACUUCGGGUGGAUUGGAUACAGGUGCUGCAUGGCUGUCGUCAGCUCGUGUCGUGAGAUGUUGGGUUAAGUCCCGCAACGAGCGCAACCCUUACCUUCAAUUGCCAGCACAUUAUGGUGGGAACUUUGAAGGAACUGCCGGUGAUAAGCCGGAGGAAGGUGGGGAUGACGUCAAGUCCUCAUGGCCCUUACGGGCCGGCUACACACGUGAUACAAUGGUAACUACAAAGGGCAGCGAAGGAGCGAUCUGGAGCAAAUCUCAAAAAGUUACCUCAGUUCGGAUUGCACUCUGCAACUCGAGUGCAUGAAGUUGGAAUCGCUAGUAAUCG
rnacentral:rRNA from 1 species